ensembl:lncRNA
GGGAGAGUGAGGAUGAGGUUAGGGAGAGGAGUGAUGGAGAGUGAGGAUGAGGUUAGGGAGAGGAGUGAUGGGGAGUGAGGAUGAGGGAGAGUGAGGAUGAGGAGUGAUGGGGAGUGAGGAUGAGGGAGAGUGAGGAUGAGGAGUGAUGGAGAGUGAGGAUGAGGUUAGGGAGAGGAGUGGUGAGGAUGAGGUUAGGGAGAGGAGUGAUGGAGUGAGGAUGAGGUUAGGGAGAGGAGUGAUGAGGUUAGGGAGAGGAGUGAUGAGGUUAGGGAGAGGAGUGAUGGGGUUAGGGAGAGGAGUGAGGGGGAGUGAGGAUGAGGUUAGGGAGAGGAGUGAUGGGGAGAGAGGAUGAGGUUAGGGAGAGG